GACGAACGCUGGCGGCGUGCUUAACACAUGCAAGUCGAACGGAAAGGCCCUGCUUUUGUGGGGUGCUCGAGUGGCGAACGGGUGAGUAACACGUGAGUAACCUGCCCUUGACUUUGGGAUAACUUCAGGAAACUGGGGCUAAUACCGGAUAGGAGCUCCUGCUGCAUGGUGGGGGUUGGAAAGUUUCGGCGGUUGGGGAUGGACUCGCGGCUUAUCAGCUUGUUGGUGGGGUAGUGGCUUACCAAGGCUUUGACGGGUAGCCGGCCUGAGAGGGUGACCGGCCACAUUGGGACUGAGAUACGGCCCAGACUCCUACGGGAGGCAGCAGUGGGGAAUAUUGCACAAUGGGCGGAAGCCUGAUGCAGCAACGCCGCGUGCGGGAUGACGGCCUUCGGGUUAUAAACCGCUUUCGCAUGUGACGAAGCGUGAGUGACGGUAAUGGGUAAAGAAGCACCGGCUAACUACGUG
rnacentral:rRNA from 1 species